rnacentral:rRNA from 1 species
GAAUCUUCCGCAAUGGACGCAAGUCUGACGGAGCAACGCCGCGUGAGUGAAGAAGGUUUUCGGAUCGUAAAACUCUGUUGUCGGAGAAGAACACGUAAGCGAGUAACUGCGCUUACCAUGACGGUACCCGACCAGAAAGCCACGGCUCACUACGUGCCAGCAGCCGCGGUAAUACGUAGGUGGCAAGCGUUGUCCGGAUUUAUUGGGCGUAAAGCGCGCGCAGGCGGUCUUUUAAGUCUGAUGUGAAAUCUUACAGCUUAACUGUAAGCGGUCAUUGGAAACUGGGAGACUUGAGUGCAGAAGAGGAGAGUGGAAUUCCAUGUGUAGCGGUGAAAUGCGUAGAGAUAUGGAGGAACACCAGUGGCGAAGGCGACUCUCUGGUCUGUAACUGACGCUGAGGCGCGAAAGCGUGGGGAUCAAAC